rnacentral:rRNA from 1 species
GUAGGGAAUAUUGGGCAAUGGUCGGAAGACUGACCCAGCCAUGCCGCGUGCAGGAAGACGGCCCUCUGGGUUGUAAACUGCUUUUAUCUGGGAAGAAAAAGGCCAUGCGUGGCAAAUUGCCGGUACCAGAUGAAUAAGCACCGGCUAACUCCGUGCCAGCAGCCGCGGUAAUACGGAGGGUGCGAGCGUUGUCCGGAUUUAUUGGGGUUAAAGGGUGCGUAGGCGGCUGAUUAAGUCAGCGGUGAAAGACUUCGGCUUAACCGGAGCAGUGCCGUUGAUACUGGUUGGCUUGAGUGUCGGAGGGGUACAUGGAAUUGAUGGUGUAGCGGUGAAAUGCAUAGAUACCAUCAGGAACACCGAUAGCGAAGGCAUUGUACUGGCCGACAACUGACGCUGAUGCACGAAAGUGUGGGGAUCGAACAGGAUUAGAAACCCGGGUAGUCC